GCAUAGCAACGGCGUAGGGGGAUUAGCCAAUGGGGAAGAGUGGCAUUGAGGUUGGGCCUGCCAGGGCUGGAGCCGCUCCGAGGCAGCGGCCGCCGGUAUGGCCUCCAGCUUUAAGAAGCCCUCGCUAGGACCCGCGUCCCAGAAGAAGAAAGCGAGCCCCAAGCUGGAGCUCACUGAGGAACAGAAGGAGAUCCGGGAGGCUUUCGACUUGUUUGACACAGACGGCACCGGGAACAUUGAUGUUAAGGAACUAAAGGUGGCCAUGAGGGCACUAGGGUUUGAACCUAAAAAAGGAGAGAUCAAGGAAAUUAUAUCAGAUGUCGAUAAGGAAGGAACAGGAAAAAUCAGCUUCAAUGACUUCUUGGUAGUGAUGACACAGAAAAUGGCUGAAAAAGAUUCCAAAGAGGAGAUUCUCAAGGCUUUCAAACUCUUUGAUGACGAUGAAACUGGCAAAAUCUCUUUCAAAAACCUCAAACGUGUUGCCAAAGAACUGGGGGAAAAUCUCACAGAUGAAGAGCUGCAGUGAGCUGAGCCAUCUCUGUUCUGUGUGCUAGAGCUAGCAGCGGGAGUAAGGACUGGGAAUCUCUUGGUGGGGGACGGAAGCCCUCUCAAGAAAAUGAUUGAUGAAGCAGACAGAGAUGGGGAUGGAGAAGUGAAUGAGCAAGAAUUCUUGCGGAUCAUGAAGAAGACCAGCCUUUACUGAAACAGAAUUGUAAUUAAUUUUGCACAUGUGUAUAUAUGUUUGGAAUGUGCCUCACUUUUUUUACAGUCUUAUUUCUUUUGAGAUAGCAGAAAAUACAGGUCAAUAUGGUUUUUUUUAAGUGGAUGAUCUUAAACUUGCUUUUGUGAAUACUUAACAAUCGCUGACCUGUUUACAUGUAGCAACAUUGUUGCUUGUUUGUACUCAUAAGAUGUUUACCCUCUUUUUAUUUUCGAUAUACAAAUCACAUUUUUCAGUAACAGUAUUCGCGUCCUUCUCUAACUAAAAACUGUGUGUCAAAUGAUUGUGGUUUGGUGAAGAGAGGACUCAAAACCAGAUAGUGUACAUCUCUAUUUCCCAGCAGUUUUUUUGGUUUAAUGUAUUUGUUUGGGCAGCUAUAGUGAACUCUUUAUAUGACAUAUUUGCAGGGAUCAGCUUUUUAUACUCUGUCUUACAGUGAUUAUCCCCUCCCCUUUUUAGUAUGUUCUUUAAACUGGAAAAAAAAGUAAGUAAAUAGACUGCUGCAACUUAACUUACUGCUAUUCAGUCCACAUGUUUAAAGAAACUCUCUGCAAAAGAAGAGGAAAAUUACCAGUGCUGCUGCUGAAAGCUCUGUAUAUUUGCAGGAAUAUUCAGUGGCUGCUGAAUUAAAUAAGAUUGUAUUUAAAAUAAAGUGUCUUAUCUUAAUGCA